rnacentral:misc_RNA from 1 species
AACACUGUUAACCUGCGGUACCUGCGGAGGGAUCAUUAUCGAGUUGCAAAACUCCAACCCUUUGUGAACAUACCUCAGUCGUUGCUUCGGCGGUGGACGGCCUGUUUUUUCAGAACGGCCGGAAGCCGCCGGAGGUUCCAAACUCGUGUUUUCUUUUUGUGUAUCUCUGAGCCUGAAAACGAAUAAUCAAAACUUUCAACAACGGAUCU